GGUAGCGUGGCCGAGCGGUCUAAGGCGCUGGAUUAAGUUUCCAGUCUUCUCCUCGGAGUCGUGGGUUCGAAUCCCACCGUUGUCA
rnacentral:tRNA from 1 species